UCUCCGUUGGUGAACCAGCGGAGGGAUCAUUACAGGACUCGCAAGCCUCCUACACCCCUGUGAACUUAACUAUAAGCACGUUGCUUGGGCGGGUGUCUCGGAGGGGGUUCUCCCUCCCCGAGACGCUAAACCCGCCGGCAGCCUACUAUACUCUGUCUCUUUGCGUUGGCAUCUCGAGUACAAUCAAACAAGUUAAAACUUUCAACAACGGAUCUCUUGGUUCU
rnacentral:misc_RNA from 1 species